AGUGAACGCUGGCGGCAGGCCUAACACAUGCAAGUCGAACGGCAGCACAAGAGAGCUUGCUCUCUGGGUGGCGAGUGGCGGACGGGUGAGGAAUGCAUCGGAAUCUGCCCAUUUGUGGGGGAUAACCUCGGGAAACCAGGACUAAUACCGCAUACGACCUACGGGUGAAAGCAGGGGAUCUUCGGACCUUGCGCAGAUGGAUGAGCCGAUGCCGGAUUAGCUAGUUGGAGGGGUAAAGGCCCACCAAGGCGACGAUCCGUAGCUGGUCUGAGAGGAUGAUCAGCCACACUGGGACUGAGACACGGCCCAGACUCCUACGGGAGGCAGCAGUGGGGAAUAUUGGACAAUGGGCGCAAGCCUGAUCCAGCCAUGCCGCGUGUGUGAAGAAGGCCUUCGGGUUGUAAAGCACUUUUGUUGGGAAAGAAAAGCAGCCGGUUAAUACCCGGUUGUCAUGACGGUACCCAAAGAAUAAGCACCGGCUAACUUCGU
rnacentral:rRNA from 1 species